AAUGAACGCUGGCGGCAUGCCUAAUACAUGCAAGUCGAGCGGUGCGGCGGACGGGUAAGUAAUGCCUAGGAAGCUGCCUGGGCGUGGGGGAUAUCGUCUGGAAACGGGGGCUACUACCGCAUAGUAGCAGAUGAGCCGAGGUCGGCUUAGCUAAGUGGUGGGGUAACGGCCUACCAAGGCGACGAUCCGUAUCUGGGCUGAGCGGAUGAUCAGUCACACUGGAACUGAGACACGGCCCAGACUCCUACGGGAGGAAGCAGUAGGGAAUAUUGGACAAUGGGCGAAAGCCUGAUCGAGCCAUGCCGCGUGUGUGAAGAAGGUCUUCGGAUUGUAAAGCACUGUUAGUGGGGAGGCGUUACUAACAGAAAAAGCAACGGCUAACUACGUGCCAGCAGCCGCGGUAAUAC
rnacentral:rRNA from 1 species